rnacentral:snoRNA from 1 species
CCAACGUGGGCAUCCGGAGAAGUUGCUCUCUCUCGGCUCUGCCCGGGUGGCGUACGGGAGCGUAGGCCCUCGGGCUCCGUGACGUACAGUCCCCUUCCACGGCGUUGGAGAACAAGCCGGGCCUCUGGUCUGCAGCCUGCAUAUUCCUACUGCUUCUCUGAGUCCUCGGACUGUGACUGAGGAGAUCCACCAUGCAGGAGACAUUG